rnacentral:rRNA from 1 species
CUUAACACAUGCAAGUCGAACGGAAAGGCCCUGCUUUUGUGGGGUGCUCGAGUGGCGAACGGGUGAGUAACACGUGAGUAACCUGCCCUUGACUUUGGGAUAACUUCAGGAAACUGGGGCUAAUACCGGAUAGGAGCUCCUGCUGCAUGGUGGGGGUUGGAAAGUUUCGGCGGUUGGGGAUGGACUCGCGGCUUAUCAGCUUGUUGGUGGGGUAGUGGCUUACCAAGGCUUUGACGGGUAGCCGGCCUGAGAGGGUGACCGGCCACAUUGGGACUGAGAUACGGCCCAGACUCCUACGGGAGGCAGCAGUGGGGAAUAUUGCACAAUGGGCGGAAGCCUGAUGCAGCAACGCCGCGUGCGGGAUGACGGCCUUCGGGUUGUAAACCGCUUUCGCCUGUGACGAAGCGUGAGUGACGGUAAUGGGUAAAGAAGCACCGGCUAACUACGUGCCAGCAGCCGCGGUGAUACGUAGGGUGCGAGCGUUGUCCGGAUUUAUUGGGCGUAAAGGGCUCGUAGGUGGUUGAUCGCGUCGGAAGUGUAAUCUUGGGGCUUAACCCUGAGCGUGCUUUCGAUACGGGUUGACUUGAGGAAGGUAGGGGAGAAUGGAAUUCCUGGUGGAGCGGUGGAAUGCGCAGAUAUCAGGAGGAACACCAGUGGCGAAGGCGGUUCUCUGGGCCUUUCCUGACGCUGAGGAGCGAAAGCGUGGGGAGCGAACAGGCUUAGAUACCCUGGUAGUCCACGCUGUAAACGGUGGGUACUAGGUGUGGGGUCCAUUCCACGGGUUCCGUGCCGUAGCUAACGCUUUAAGUACCCCGCCUGGGGAGUACGGCCGCAAGGCUAAAACUCAAAGGAAUUGACGGGGCCCCGCACAAGCGGCGGAGCAUGCGGAUUAAUUCGAUGCAACGCGUAGAACCUUACCUGGGUUUGACAUGGAUCGGGAGUGCUCAGAGAUGGGUGUGCCUCUUUUGGGGUCGGUUCACAGGUGGUGCAUGGCUGUCGUCAGCUCGUGUCGUGAGAUGUUGGGUUAAGUCCCGCAACGAGCGCAACCCUUGUUCACUGUUGCCAGCACGUUAUGGUGGGGACUCAGUGGAGACCGCCGGGGUCAACUCGGAGGAAGGUGGGGAUGACGUCAAGUCAUCAUGCCCCUUAUGUCCAGGGCUUCACGCAUGCUACAAUGGCUGGUACAGAGAGUGGCGAGCCUGUGAGGGUGAGCGAAUCUCGGAAAGCCGGUCUCAGUUCGGAUUGGGGUCUGCAACUCGACCUCAUGAAGUCGGAGUCGCUAGUAAUCGCAGAUCAGCAACGCUGCGGUGAAUACGUUCCCGGGGCUUGUACACACCGCCCGUCAAGUCAUGAAAGUUGGUAACACCCGAAGCCGGUGGCCUAACCGUUGUGGGGGAGCCGUCGAAGGUGGGACUGGUGAUUAGGACUAA